GUGAACGCUGGCGGUAGGCCUAACCCAUGCAAUUCGAACGGCAGCACAGUAAGAGCUUGCUCUUACGGGUGGCGAGUGGCGGACGGGUGAGGAAUACAUCGGAAUCUACUUUUUCGUGGGGGAUAACGUAGGGAAACUUACGCUAAUACCGCAUACGACCUACGGGUGAAAGCAGGGGAUCUUCGGACCUUGCGCGAUUGAAUGAGCCGAUGUCGGAUUAGCUAGUUGGCGGGGUAAAGGCCCACCAAGGCGACGAUCCGUAGCUGGUCUGAGAGGAUGAUCAGCCACACUGGAACUGAGACACGGUCCAGACUCCUACGGGAGGCAGCAGUGGGGAAUAUUGGACAAUGGGCGCAAGCCUGAUCCAGCCAUACCGCGUGGGUGAAGAAGGCCUUCGGGUUGUAAAGCCCUUUUGUUGGGAAAGAAAAGCAGCAGGUUAAUACCCCGCUGUUCUGACGGUACCCAAAGAAUAAGCACCGGCUAACUUCGUG
rnacentral:rRNA from 1 species